UAAGCGGAGGAAAAGAAACUAACNAAGGAUUCCCCUAGUAACUGCGAGUGAAGCGGGAAAAGCUCAAAUUUAAAAUCUGGUGGUCUUUGGCCGUCCGAGUUGUAAUUUAGAGAANGCGUCUNCGCGCUGGACCGUGCACAAGUCUCCUGGAACGGAGCGUCGUAGAGGGUGAGAAUCCCGUCUUUGGCAUGGACACACCAGGGCUUUUGCGAUGCGCUCUCGAAGAGUCGAGUUGUUUGGGAAUGCAGCUCAAAAUGGGUGGUGAACUCCAUCUAAAGCUAAAUAUUGGCGAGAGACCGAUAGCGAACAAGUNCCGUGAGGGAAAGAUGAAAAGCACUUUGGAAAGAGAGUGAAACAGUACGUGAAAUUGUUGAAAGGGAAACGCUUGAAGUCAGUCGCGUCGUCCGAGACUCAGCCUCGCCUCGGCUUGGCGUACUUCUCGGNCCGACGGGUCAGCAUCAAUUUCGCCUCUCGGAUAAUGGCGAGGGAAAAGUGACACCUUUACGGUGUGUUAUAGUCUCUCGUCGCAUGCGAGGGUCGGGAUUGAGGAACUCAGCACGCGCCCUCGGGCGUCGGGGCUUUCGCCCACGAUACGUGCUUAGGAUGUUGGCGUAAUGGCUUUAAACGACC
rnacentral:rRNA from 1 species